rnacentral:lncRNA from 1 species
UUUAUCCUGUAAUUUUGAUCUAAUGCAAGAAAUAUGAUACCCAUAUUUAUCUAAAAAUCCUAGUUUCUCUCCAGACAUAUCAAGACAUAAUAAUUCAGUUUGCGCAAUAUCCAAAUCGUUAAUUAUUAAGCUAGGAAUAGUUGAACUUACCUAAAAAUUGGACAGUUGAUUGGCUUGUUCCUUUGCACGGCCUGCUUUAUUGAUGACUGGUCUGGUGGUUCUUCCUGAAGUAAGAUGUUGCUGGUCGUUACUCCAUCUUCUUCGGAUAAGUUUUUAGGCAAGGAAUGCGCCUUUGAUUGUGGCAUGUUAUCUAUCUUUAAGAUCAUCUUCUCUUGCUCCAAAGGUUCCUUUCU